rnacentral:rRNA from 1 species
UACGUAGGCAGCAAGCGUUGUUCGGAGUUACUGGGCGUAAAGAGUGCGUAGGUGGUGCCCUAAGUCUGUUGUGAAAUCUCCCGGCUUAACUGGGAGGGUGCGGUGGAAACUGGGGUGCUUGAGUGUGGGAGAGGUAAGCGGAAUUCCCGGUGUAGCGGUGAAAUGCGCAGAUAUCGGGAAGAACACCCGUGGCGAAGGCGGCUCUCUGGGACGGUACUGACGCUGAGACGCGAAAGCGUGGGGAGCGAACAGG